UCCGAGUGCUAACUAAAUUGGAAAAGAAGAGAUAUGCACCUACUCAAUAAAAGAGAAGAGAUGAUGUCCAUAACUGAGAAGAGAUAUGCACCUACUCGAUAAAGGAUGAUACUGCUAUCUUUCUCACUGUUGGCAAGAUGGAUGCUUAUAAUUCUGCACAUAACAUUUGACAUUAUGACUGAGCAAGCUUCGGAUUAUGUGGCUAAUGGAAAAGUAUACUCUUGCAGAUGGUGCACCAGCCGCUCC
rnacentral:lncRNA from 1 species